rnacentral:rRNA from 1 species
GAUGAACGCUGGCGGCGUGCCUAAUACAUGCAAGUCGAGCGAACGGACGAGAAGCUUGCUUCUCUGAUGUUAGCGGCGGACGGGUGAGUAACACGUGGAUAACCUACCUAUAAGACUGGGAUAACUUCGGGAAACCGGAGCUAAUACCGGAUAAUAUUUUGAACCGCAUGGUUCAAAAGUGAAAGACGGUCUUGCUGUCACUUAUAGAUGGAUCCGCGCUGCAUUAGCUAGUUGGUAAGGUAACGGCUUACCAAGGCAACGAUGCAUAGCCGACCUGAGAGGGUGAUCGGCCACACUGGAACUGAGACACGGUCCAGACUCCUACGGGAGGCAGCAGUAGGGAAUCUUCCGCAAUGGGCGAAAGCCUGACGGAGCAACGCCGCGUGAGUGAUGAAGGUCUUCGGAUCGUAAAACUCUGUUAUUAGGGAAGAACAUAUGUGUAAGUAACUGUGCACAUCUUGACGGUACCUAAUCAGAAAGCCACGGCUAACUACGUGCCAGCAGCCGCGGUAAUACGUAGGUGGCAAGCGUUAUCCGGAAUUAUUGGGCGUAAAGCGCGCGUAGGCGGUUUUUUAAGUCUGAUGUGAAAGCCCACGGCUCAACCGUGGAGGGUCAUUGGAAACUGGAAAACUUGAGUGCAGAAGAGGAAAGUGGAAUUCCAUGUGUAGCGGUGAAAUGCGCAGAGAUAUGGAGGAACACCAGUGGCGAAGGCGACUUUCUGGUCUGUAACUGACGCUGAUGUGCGAAAGCGUGGGGAUCAAACAGGAUUAGAUACCCUGGUAGUCCACGCCGUAAACGAUGAGUGCUAAGUGUUAGGGGGUUUCCUCCCCUUAGUGCUGCAGCUAACGCAUUAAGCACUCCGCCUGGGGAGUACGACCGCAAGGUUGAAACUCAAAGGAAUUGACGGGGACCCGCACAAGCGGUGGAGCAUGUGGUUUAAUUCGAAGCAACGCGAAGAACCUUACCAAAUCUUGACAUCCUUUGACAACUCUAGAGAUAGAGCCUUCCCCUUCGGGGGACAAAGUGACAGGUGGUGCAUGGUUGUCGUCAGCUCGUGUCGUGAGAUGUUGGGUUAAGUCCCGCAACGAGCGCAACCCUUAAGCUUAGUUGCCAUCAUUAAGUUGGGCACUCUAAGUUGACUGCCGGUGACAAACCGGAGGAAGGUGGGGAUGACGUCAAAUCAUCAUGCCCCUUAUGAUUUGGGCUACACACGUGCUACAAUGGACAAUACAAAGGGCAGCGAAACCGCGAGGUCAAGCAAAUCCCAUAAAGUUGUUCUCAGUUCGGAUUGUAGUCUGCAACUCGACUACAUGAAGCUGGAAUCGCUAGUAAUCGUAGAUCAGCAUGCUACGGUGAGUACGUUCCCGGGUCU